rnacentral:rRNA from 1 species
UGGGGAAUCUUGCGCAAUGGGCGAAAGCCUGACGCAGCAACGCCGCGUGGGGGAAGAAGGUCUUCGGAUUGUAAACCCCUUUCAGUUGGGACGAAGCUUCCAGGGUUAAUAGCUCUGUGGAGUGACGGUACCUUCAGAAGAAGCCCCGGCUAACUACGUGCCAGCAGCCGCGGUAAUACGUAGGGGGCGAGCGUUGUCCGGAAUCAUUGGGCGUAAAGCGCGUGUAGGCGGUCCGGUAAGUCCGCUGUGAAAGUCGGGGGCUCAACCCUCGGAUGCCGGUGGAUACUGUCGGGCUUGAGUACGGAAGAGGCGAGUGGAAUUCCUGGUGUAGCGGUGAAAUGCGCAGAUAUCAGGAGGAACACCAAUUGCGAAGGCAGCUCGCUGGGACGUUACUGACGCUGAGACGCGAAAGCGUGGGGAGCAAACAGGAUUAGAUACCCUGGUAGUCCACGCUGUAAACGAUGGGCACUAGGUGUGGGGGGUGUCGACUCCCUCCGUGCCGAAGCUAACG